rnacentral:rRNA from 2 species
GUUUCCGUAGGUGAACCUGCGGAGGGAUCAUU